UACGAAGGGUGCAAGCGUUAAUCGGAAUUACUGGGCGUAAAGCGCACGCAGGCGGUUGGUUAAGUCAGAUGUGAAAGCCCCGGGCUCAACCUGGGAAUUGCAUUUGAAACUGGCCAACUAGAGUACGUGAGAGGGGGGUAGAAUUCCAAGUGUAGUGGUGAAAUGCGUAGAGAUUUGGAGGAAUACCAGUGGCGAAGGCGGCCCCCUGGCACGAUACUGACGCUCAGGUGCGAAAGCGUGGGGAGCAAACAGG
rnacentral:rRNA from 1 species